ACUAAUGAUAAACCUAAAGGCGCAAUGAAAGUAAAGGUCCGCCUCGCGCGGACCGAGGGAGGAUGGGCCCGUCCACGGGCGGGCCCCGCACUCCCGGGGCGUCUCGUUCUCAUCGCGAGAUGAGGCGCACCCAGAGCGUACACGCUGGGACCCGAAAGAUGGUGAACUAUGCCUGGUCAGGACGAAGUCAGGGGAAACCCUGAUGGAGGUCCGUAGCGAUUCUGACGUGCAAAUCGAUCGUCGGAACUGGGUAUAGGGGCGAAAGACUAAUCGAACCUUCUAGUAGCUGGUUCCUUCCGA
rnacentral:rRNA from 1 species